rnacentral:rRNA from 1 species
AGACAAUAGAUACCCAGGUAGUCCACGCCGUAAACGAUGAGUGCUAAGUGUUAGAGGGUUUCCGCCCUUUAGUGCUGUAGCUAAACGCAUUAAGCACUCCGCCUGGGGAGUACGGCCGCAAGGCUGAAACUCAAAGGAAUUGACGGGGGCCCGCACAAGCGGUGGAGCAUGUGGUUUAAUUCGAAGCAACGCGAAGAACCUUACCAGGUCUUGACAUCCUCUGACACUCCUAGAGAUAGGACGUUCCCCUUCGGGGGACAGAGUGACAGGUGGUGCAUGGUUGUCGUCAGCUCGUGUCGUGAGAUGUUGGGUUAAGUCCCGCAACGAGCGCAACCCUUGAUCUUAGUUGCCAGCAUUCAGUUGGGCACUCUAAGGUGACUGCCGGUGACAAACCGGAGGAAGGUGGGGAUGACGUCAAAUCAUCAUGCCCCUUAUGACCUGGGCUACACACGUGCUACAAUGGAUGGUACAAAGGGCUGCGAAACCGCGAGGUUUAGCCAAUCCCAUAAAACCAUUCUCAGUUCGG